UUUUGAUGAACAUUUUUGUUAAGACAAGAAAUGGAAUAUGAUCAGAUGAACCAGACCAUUGACCCAAAAUAUAAAUGUCUCUUAUUUGAUCUAGAUGACACUCUUUAUCCACCGACUUCUGGCAUUUCAAGUGAAGUUACC